rnacentral:tRNA from 1 species
CAGAUUGUAGCUUAUAUUAAAGCAAAUUAUUUACAUUAAUAAGAAAUCUUAAUGAUUUUUCUGA